rnacentral:rRNA from 1 species
CCUACGGGUGGCAGCAGUGAGGAAUAUUGGUCAAUGGACGCAAGUCUGAACCAGCCAUGCCGCGUGCAGGAAGACGGCUCUAUGAGUUGUAAACUGCUUUUGUACGAGGGUAAACGCAGAUACGCGUAUCUGUCUGCAAGUAUCGUACGAAUAAGGAUCGGCUAACUCCGUGCCAGCAGCCGCGGUAAUACGGAGGAGUCAAGCGUUAUUCGGAUUUAUUGGGUUUAAAGGGUGCGUAGGCGGUCGGAGAAGUUAGAGGUUAAAUACAGAGGCUCAACUUGGGAAUUGCAUCUGAUACUGUUCGGCUAGAGAGUAGUAGCGGUAGGCGGAAUGUAUGGUGUAGCGGUGAAAUGCUUAGAGAUCAUACAGAACACCGAUUGCGAAGGCAGCUUACCAGGCUACUUCUGACGUUGAGGCACGAAAGCGUGGGGAGCAAACAGGAUUAGAUACCCCUGUAGUC